rnacentral:tRNA from 1 species
AAGGAUUUAAGUUAACUAUAAACUAGUAGUCUUCAAAACUCCCAAUAAGAAUUUCUUAAGCCUUA